rnacentral:rRNA from 1 species
UACGAAGGGGGCUAGCGUUGCUCGGAUUGACUGGGCGUAAAGGACGCGUAGGCGGUUCGUACAGUCAGACGUGAAAUUCCUGGGCUCAACCUGGGGGCUGCGUUUGAUACGUGCGGACUUGAGUGCGGAAGAGGGUCGUGGAAUUCCCAGUGUAGAGGUGAAAUUCGUAGAUAUCAGGAAGAACACCUAUGGCGAAGGCAGCUCUCUGGGACGGUACUGACGCUGAGACGCGAAAGCGUGGGGAGCGAACAGG